GACCGGCAAACGGGUGCGGAACACGUACAGAACCUUCCUUUAAGUGGGGAAUAGCCCAGAGAAAUUUGGAUUAAUACCCCGUAACAUUAUGAAGUGGCAUCAUUUUAUAAUUAUAGAUUUAUCGCUUAGAGAUGGCUGUGCGGCUGAUUAGGUAGUUGGCGGGGUAACGGCCCACCAAGCCUGCGAUCAGUAACUGGUGUGAGAGCACGACCAGUCACACGGGCACUGAGACACGGGCCCGACUCCUACGGGAGGCAGCAGUAAGGAAUAUUGGUCAAUGGACGAAAGUCUGAACCAGCCAUGCCGCGUGGAGGAUGAAGGUCCUCUGGAUUGUAAACUUCUUUUAUCUGGGACGGAAAAAGGUCUUUCUAGAUCAACUGACGGUACCAGGUGAAUAAGCACCGGCUAACUCCGUGCCAGCAGCCGCGGUAAUACGGAGGGUGCAAGCGUUAUCCGGAUUCACUGGGUUUAAAGGGUGCGUAGGUGGGUUGGUAAGUCAGUGGUGAAAUCCCCGAGCUUAACUUGGGAACUGCCAUUGAUACUAUCAGUCUUGAAUACCGUGGAGGUGAGCGGAAUAUGUCAUGUAGCGGUGAAAUGCUUAGAUAUGACAUAGAACACCAAUUGCGAAGGCAGCUUGCUACACGGAUAU
rnacentral:rRNA from 1 species